UGCAUUGGGGCUACUCUGCCAGCAUUUACCAUACAGGCAUGACAGUGUACGAGCACCACUCUGCAAUCAGUGCACCUUCUUUUUGCUUAGGGAGAUGGCCGUCUAAUGGAACGCACAGGUUUGCCAGAAGGCAUCGGAACACAGCCAGGAAGCCAAGAGAAAGCUGCCUCUCGGCCACACCCUAACACCAGGAGCGACCGCCCUGGCUGUUGCGGACAACCGAAGCGAGAAAACAAAUUCGGUACCGCAAGCCACAGCACUUUUGAGAAAUAAGAGGAACGCAGGCUGCAUUAAUAACACUACCGCAAACGGAAACAUCUGCUAUAACUCCCAGUGUCCAUUUUUCUCCAUGGGGGCCUGCAAAGACGGGUUGUGCGCAUGCGUACCCAAAGGAAGAAACAUGGCGGCACUUCGGGAAGUGUGCUACGGCGGAUGUUACGCAAGCUGCACGCACCGCUGUUUCGUGGACGAUUCCAUGAAGGAAAGCGUGAAGUCGCCCUGCGACGCUGAAUGCACCAAGCUCUGUUAUGAGGAUUAGCAGGCUGUAGGGAUGAAAGUGUGUUUACAUUGCAUUUUCAAACUUUAUUAACUCUGGUGUUAUCUCUUUGCCCACCUGCUUAGUGCCUGUACAAGGUUUGCAGUAUUGAAUAAAUACAAUAAAAAGUAAACAUAUGCAUAUGUCGCUCAAGUGUAGAGCAGCAGAAAAUAACCCCUUCAUCAAUAAUUUGAAAAAGACGAAUAAUAACCUAACCCGUAGUAACAGUCUAAACCCAAAGUGGCGUCGGUAGUAGCUAGCAAUAACAAUGAUAAACCAGCAUUUUCGCUAAAGAAGCUGGAAUGCAUUUAUAGAUAUUGCAAUAAAGAAACGCGUUGAAACGUAACGGGAUGACAAAUACAUUAUCAGUAUAUUUUCAAAAGCCAAAAAGUUAGUAUCAAACUCAAACUAGAAAAAAAAAUACUAGUGACAAAACCUGGAAGAAAUAUUUUUUUUAAAAAUCAGUCCCCCUUAACUUACAAUCCACCUAUUGUUUAUUCCAUUUUUUAUUAUGAAUCAAAUAAACAAUGUUUACAUGAUGCCUAGGCGGACUUACUGCUAUUUAGUGUAAUCAGUGAUAUUCUACAGGAAAUCAUUUACUGCGGGGUUGACUUAAAAGUCUUUCCGCUUAAGCAGCCUAAAAUACUAUAAUACCCGUAUUAGACCAUUAUGAAUGUUGCUAAAUAAGGAUAGGCUCACAGACAUAUGAAACCCAAUACAUAGCUAGGUCUCGGCAGCGCGGCUUAACAUGGAGAAAAGAAGGGCCGACAAAAUAGGCAAGCCAGGUAUCUCUUCUUGGACUCUUUCUUUUUGUGCGUGUUGCGCCCCGCUUCACGCACAGCUCCAACCAGACAUCCGUACCAACUUGCCCACUUUUCAGCAAUUCUGCAUAUGGUACCGAACAGGGUUCUAGUAACAUGGCUGCUUUGCGUUCACUAAUGGCAUGCGCCCUCUUCACCAACGAACUGCUUUUCCACUCGGCACAAACCACUGUACCGUAUUGUUGCCAGGGUUUUAUUUAUCUUAAUUCAAAGCAAGAGCCUUGUCUCGCUAGUGGAUUGUUUUUUUUUUGUAUUUGCUUUUUGUGUGUG